ACCUGCCCCGCCCCGCACGCCCUCCCCGCCCCAGCACUCUGCUGUCACCGAGAGCGACCACGCAGCCGGGAGGAGGGGACCCCGCUCGCUCGCUCGCCCUCCCACCCGCCUCUGCCUGCUGCUCCCCCAGGGCCAGAACACCACCCUGCAACAGCCCUCCUCCCUGACCCCUGCCCUCAGCCCCAGGGAGACCUGAGUGUGGGGAGCAGGGGCGGUAGUGCCACCCAGAGGGAUCAGACCCCGUUUAAGGCCCCCCCGACUGUGCUUCUCCUGUGGCCUAGAGCCUGACAAGGACCGUGAAGGCUGGAGGGUUUCAUGAGCAGUGUGGGCCCAGGACCCACUUGGUCCCUGGGGCACCCUCGCUCCUCGCCUCGCGGGUACUACGCCCCCCACCCCGGCAUCACCGCUGCUGCUGUCCUGUGACCCUGCCCGGAGCCACACACGGGGGCUGCGUUCCUGGCCCGCCCCCAGCCCCAGGCUGCUUUGGCCUCACCAGCUCUCUGAACCCGGGGACCUGUCCCCGCAGCUGGGCCCCCGUGCCUGUCCCUCUUCCUACAGCUUCACCAGGUACCAGGAGGGCCUUGCGGGUGUGGCAGGCGUGAGGGCACCUGCCUCCCCCAGCACACACACACUCACAUGCACACACCCAGGCACACACUCAGCCCCAGGGGACUUGUCACCACUGAGGCAGCCUCACCGUGGGCAGAGGAAGUUGGUUCCCAGAUGGAGGCAAAACUCUCCCCCAAGAGAAGCCCCACAAACGUCAGCCCCCGGGUGCUGCCUUGAGGUGGUCUUGGCAAUGAGCGGGCAAGGGGGGCGUCAGUGACCCCUCAGGCAGACCUCAAAUCCAGGGGUCCCCCACCCGGCCCAGGGCUCAUCUGAGAACAGGGACACCAUCCUGGAAGCCGAGGGCAUCCCCGGGCCUUUCUCGGCCACCCUCGGGCUCUGUGGGACCUGCUGCUGUCUGUCCCGGGCCCAGGCACCCCUGCGCGGUUUGCACUGAACCCCUGGGGCCCCCCACUAACCACUCACCCCUCCACCCCAUGGGCUCGGAAUGGGCCGGGCGGUACGGGCCCGCAGUUGCGCCUCUCCGUCCUUCGAAGGCUUUCUCCUCGGAAAGCAGGGCCGGGAGAAAGCUGGACCCACGACCACAGCCGCCACCACACCGGGCUCCGGGGACGUGAUCCUCGGGCUCAGCGUGAGGGUCCUGGGGGCAGAGGGGACCCGGCAGAAUGUGCUCUGCUCGCCGGCACAGCUCUUCUCUGCCUCGGGGGCCGCGAGCGCCGAGGUCACAGGCUGGACCGUGUCCACGGCUCACAUUGCGGGCGGCUGGGCUGUGCGUCCCCCAGGGGGACCCCUUCUCCGUGCCUGCGCGGGAAGGAGGAGGGUCGAUGGCUCCCAGCACCUGCAGGAAAGGCAUGGCCUCCAGACCCGCCUCCCCAGAGGCACUGGGAGCGGCUGGGCCAGACGCACAGGCGGGGACCCCGUCUCCAUCGUCUCCUGGAGCGGGGAGCAGAACCCUCUCUUUACGGAGUAGGGAGCUAGACCCUCUGGGGCUUUCUCCUGUUAGCCCUCAGGGUGGGCAGCGGGGGUCAGGAGGCCUCUGCAUAUCUUGGGGUGUUGAAAACUGUGAAACAUCAUCACACAAGGGUCUCUUGUUCUCUUUCCGCAUCAGACUCUCUGGGAGAUUGGUGAAAAUUAUUGUUGCCUUUUCUUUGGGACUCUUGUCCCCCCACUAGUGUGCGCUCCUAUUUUUACUUCACUCUUUCAAAGACUCUCGUGUAAUUACAUGCCUGCUUUUCAGCCGGCAGGCCAGAUAAUUGCUGACCCGUCUUUUAGAGCUCAGCCCUAUCAGAGGGCAUUCUUUCGUGGCUUGUUCUCACUUUCCAGAAGGAUGCUAGGUGACCUAGAGUAAAAGAGGUGAAAGCCCAGAUGCUGUGUAACCCAAAGCCCACGUAUCCCAAAUCCCAGAGAAGGAGAGGCGGAGAAAGAAGGAGGAGCUUAUAUCAGAAAACAGCAGAGAACACUGCAUGGAAAGACCUGGAAGCUGUAAGCCUCCUGGUGGCCAGGACGCAGAGGCAGUGUGACCGGUUGCGAGGGUCUCACUGUCAAAUGGAAAGGUAUUAGCAGAUCAGGGGAGGCGGAGAUGAGCCUGGUUCCUGUUUUGGGAAGGAUCUGUCACAAGGGCCGGCACCAUAUGUGCCAAAGCUUGUUAAGGUGUCCUUGUAACGAGGCUGCCCCAGAGCCUGACACUUGGUAGGUAUUCACACCUCUCUGUAGAGUAAAUAUGGAGAGAGCCACCUGCUAAAAGCUUUCCUGCGGGUGAGACAGCGCUGAUCCUGACACCUGCCAUCUGAGCUGGUCACUGACAGACCCAUGGGGUAGCCCCUGAAAGGAGCCCCCUUUUGAAAAACCCGGGUGCUAUUUAAAAACAGGCUGAGCUGUCCUACUAGAUGGCAAAGGCUGUCAGAUUAUUUUUAAAAAGGACACUGUGUUUAUCAUCGUAAGAUAUACUCAAAGAUUAGUAGAAGUCGAAGGAUAGGAAAGACACCAAAGUCACCAGCAGAAGAAAAGUGCAAGUGGCAACAUUAGUAGCAGAUAGAGUAGAAGCUAAAGUGCAUUAGUAGAAUCACCCUGGUUCAUGAUGACACAAGCUACAAAGCACUUACAGCAUUCGUAAGUUUAAAUGUACCAAGCAGCGUGGCAACGCCAGCGACUUUGAUAAAAUGCCAAUGUGGUAUAUUUGCAUGUGACUCUUGAAAUCACACACGGCUCUAGUGGAGGAAAAAAAAAUAUAGGAGUUCCCGUUGUGGCACAGCAGAAACGAAUCCGACUGGGAACCAUGAGGUUUCCGGUUCAGUCCUUGGCUGUGCUCCGUGGGUAAGGAUCUGGCGUUGCCGUGAACUGUGGAGUAGGUCGCAGAUGCUGCUUGGAUCAAAUGUGACUGUGGCUGUGGUGCAGGCCAGCAGCUGUAGCUCUGAUUAGACCCCUAACUGGGAGUUCCUAGGAACUUCCAUAUGCCACAGGUACGGCUCUAAAAAAGACCCAAAAAAAAAAGUAUAGAGAGCAAUUUAAUAGCGCAGGCAGCCAGCUGAAUCUCAUAGGUGUAUGAAAAAAUUUGUGUCUUUUAAAUCAGGUUUUCACAUGUCCUUAAAACACUAAUGAAAACGUUCAUGUCUGUCACUGCGGAGAAAACCUUAACAAAUUUUAAAGAUCUGACAUUCCAGCCCUGAGUUCAAAUCCCAGCCCUGCCACUUACUGAGUGUGUGUUGUUUGCUUGGGCAAGCUUUCCUGAGUUCCCUGGGUUUCUAUUUGCUCGUCUUUAAAAGCAGUUAUCCUGACCAACACUGUGAUGGUUGUGAGAUCUCGUGAGCUCUGCAGUGUUCUUCCCAAAUGAACAGUUAUAAAAACAAGCCUCUGCCUGUUCUUACUCCCACAUCCGUAGCUACUGAGAGAAACGGCACACUGCAGCGGGAGCUUUAGGGAGAAAAGAUCAAUAGCCAGUGGUGAUUUUUUUUUUGAAACAUAAAACAUGUGGGUUAAAAGUUUUACGGUUCCAUAUGUUAGCUGUGUGAUCUUGGGCACGUUGCUUCACCUCUCUGAGCCUCAGCCAUAAAAUUGUGAUAAUAACGUUAGCCCAUCUCCUGAGGUUGCGGCGAAGAUUAGUGAAUGUGCCUGCAGAGCAGUGACACAUAACACCAAGCAAACGGGACCGAUGAAUAACGCGGGUUUUUUAAUUCUCUGGUCUCUGCUGAGAGCUGUGGGGGGA